ACUGCGGUAGCCUAGUUGAUAGUGGCGUCGGCAGUGCAGAUGCCUAAAGUCGAAGGUUCAAUUCCUACCCGCGAUG